GACGAACGCUGGCGGCGUGCUUAACACAUGCAAGUCGAACGGAAAGGCCCUGCUUUUGUGGGGUGCUCGAGUGGCGAACGGGUGAGUAACACGUGAGUAACCUGCCCUUGACUUUGGGAUAACUUCAGGAAACUGGGGCUAAUACCGGAUAGGAGCUCCUGCUGCAUGGUGGGGGUUGGAAAGUUUCGGCGGUUGGGGAUGGACUCGCGGCUUAUCAGCUUGUUGGUGGGGUAGUGGCUUACCAAGGCUUUGACGGGUAGCCGGCCUGAGAGGGUGACCGGCCACAUGGGGACUGAGAGACGGCCCAGACUCCUACGGGAGGCAGCAGUGGGGAAUAUGGCACAAUGGGCGGAAGCCUGAUGCAGCAGCGCCGCGUGCGGGAUGACGGCCUUCGGGUGGUAAACCGCUUUCGCCUGUGACGAAGCGUGAGUGACGGUAAUGGGUGAAGAAGCACCGGCUAACUACGUG
rnacentral:rRNA from 1 species